rnacentral:rRNA from 1 species
GGGUGACGAGUGGCGGACGGGUGAGUAAUGUCUGGGAAACUGCCCGAUGGAGGGGGAUAACUACUGGAAACGGUAGCUAAUACCGCAUAACGUCGCAGGACCAAAGAGGGGGACCUUCGGGCCUCUUGCCAUCGGAUGUGCCCAGAUGGGAUUAGCUAGUAGGUGGGGUAACGGCUCACCUAGGCGACGAUCCCUAGCUGGUCUGAGAGGAUGACCAGCCACACUGGAACUGAGACACGGUCCAAACUCCUACGGGAGGCAGCAGUGGGGAAUAUUGCACAAUGGGCGCAAGCCUGAUGCAGCCAUGCCGCGUGUAUGAAGAAGGCCUUCGGGUUGUAAAGUACUUUCAGCGAGGAGGAAGGUGUUGUGGUUAAUAACCGCAGCAAUUGACGUUACUCGCAGAAGAAGCACCGGCUAACUCCGUGCCAGCAGCCGCGGUAAUACGGAGGGUGCAAGCGUUAAUCGGAAUUACUGGGCGUAAAGCGCACGCAGGCGGUCUGUCAAGUCGGAUGUGAAAUCCCCGGGCUCAACCUGGGAACUGCAUCCGAAACUGGCAGGCUAGAGUCUUGUAGAGGGGGGUAGAAUUCCAGGUGUAGCGGUGAAAUGCGUAGAGAUCUGGAGGAAUACCGGUGGCGAAGGCGGCCCCCUGGACAAAGACUGACGCUCAGGUGC